CGCUGGCGGCACGCCUUAUACAUGCAAGUCGAACGAAGUAGCAAUACUUAGUGGCAGACGGGUGAGUAACAUGUAGGUAUCUUCCCUUUGGUGAGGAAUAACACGAGGAAACUUGUGCUAAUACCUCAUAAGUCUUUACGGAGAAAGCUUUAUGCGCCGAAGGAUGAGCCUGCACUUGAUUAGUUUGUUGGUGAGGUAAUGGCUUACCAAGACUUUGAUCAAUAGCUGAUCUGAGAGGAUGAUCAGCCACAUUGGGACUGAGACACGGCCCAAACUCCUACGGGAGGCAGCAGUAGGGAAUAUUGCACAAUGGAGGAAACUCUGAUGCAGCGAUGCCGCGUGAGUGAAGAAGGCCCUUGGGUUGUAAAGCUCUUUCGUCGGGGAAGAAAAUGACUGUACCCGAAUAAGAAGGUCCGGCUAACUUCGUGCCAGCAGCCGCGGUAAUACGAAGGGACCUAGCGUAGUUCGGAAUUACUGGGCUUAAAGAGUUCGUAGGUGGUUAAAAAAGUUGGUGGUGAAAUCCCAGAGCUUAACUCUGGAACUGCCAUCAAAACUUUUUAGCUAGAGUAUGAUAGAGGAAAGCAGAAUUUCUAGUGUAGAGGUGAAAUUCGUAGAUAUUAGAAAGAAUACCAAUUGCGAAGGCAGCUUUCUGGAUCAUUACUGACGCUGAGGAACGAAAGCAUGGGUAGCGAAGAGGAUUAGAUACCCUCGUAGUCCAUGCCGUAAACGAUGUGUGUUAGACGUUGGAAAUUUAUUUUCAGUGUCGCAGCGAAAGCAUUAAACACACCGCCUGGGGAGUACGA
rnacentral:rRNA from 1 species